rnacentral:rRNA from 1 species
AUGGAUGUUUAUCUAGAGCCGUUAGUUGAUGAUAUGGUAGAUAUGUUUCUUCACGGUGUUAGAACAUGCGAUGCUUCAAAAGAAGAGUUCUUUAAUUUGAAGGCUGCCAUAUUAUGGACCAUUCAUGAUUUCCCGGGCCUAGGGUAUACAGCUGGUUGUACUACCUCCGGUGAAGGAGCUUGUCCUGAAUGUCAUUCUGACACAUGUUCUCUUAGGCUGAAUAAUGGUAGCAAGACAUGCUACAUGGGGCAUCGCAGGUUCUUACAUGAAGACCACCCCUUUAGGUCCAAUACCCAUUUUUUUGAUGGCAUUGAUGAGCAUAGGCCGGCGCCAAUUCCUCUCUCUGGACCAGAAAUUGUUGCUUAG